GGCCCCUUGGCGGAAUGGUAUACGCAGCGGACUUAAAAUCCGUGAACGAAAGUUGUGCCGGUUCAAGUCCGGCAGGGGCUA
rnacentral:tRNA from 1 species